CGGGUGGUAAUGCCGGAUGCUCCAUCACACUGCAUGGUGUGUUGGGAAAGCCUUUGCGGCAUGGGAUGGGGUCGCGUCCUAUCAGCUUGAUGGCGGGGUAACGGCCCACCAUGGCUUCGACGGGUAGCCGGCCUGAGAGGGCGACCGGCCACAUUGGGACUGAGAUACGGCCCAGACUCCUACGGGAGGCAGCAGUGGGGAAUAUUGCACAAUGGGCGCAAGCCUGAUGCAGCGACGCCGCGUGAGGGAUGGAGGCCUUCGGGUUGUAAACCUCUUUUGUUAGGGAGCAAGGCAUUUUGUGUUGAGUGUACCUUUCGAAUAAGCACCGGCUAACUACGUGCCAGCAGCCGCGGUAAUACGUAGGGUGCAAGCGUUAUCCGGAAUUAUUGGGCGUAAAGGGCUCGUAGGCGGUUCGUCGCGUCCGGUGUGAAAGUCCAUCGCUUAACGGUGGAUCCGCGCCGGGUACGGGCGGGCUUGAGUGCGGUAGGGGAGACUGGAAUUCCCGGUGUAACGGUGGAAUGUGUAGAUA
rnacentral:rRNA from 1 species